UACGUAGGGUGCGAGCGUUGUCCGGAAUUAUUGGGCGUAAAGAGCUCGUAGGCGGUUUGUCACGUCGCUGUGAAAACUCGGGGCUCAACCCCGAGCCUGCAGCCGAUACGGGCAGACUAGAGGUAUGCAGGGGAGAACGGAAUUCCUGGUGUAGCGGUGAAAUGCGCAGAUAUCAGGAGGAACACCGGUGGCGAAGGUGGUUCUCUGGGCAUUACCUGACGCUGAGGAGCGAAAGUGUGGGGAGCGAACAGG
rnacentral:rRNA from 1 species